GUGUAUAACACGGUAAUGGCGGAUAAAACUUAGAUUCGUUUCUUCCCAUACACGAACGAGUGGUCUGGUUUUCGAAGCCAUGGCGUCCACGACUCUCGUGGCUUGGCUGCUUCUUUUCGUAAGCGUCUUCGCUGUCCGCACAGUUGCAGAUGCAGGGGCCGAAGACCAGUUUUCCGCCAUUGAAGCUUCUCUGAGGAACGAAUUGAAGCAAUUGCAGUCUAAAGUUUCGAUCCUAGAAUCUAAUAUUAAGGAGAAGAUUCGAGAAUUGGAAAGAAAAGAUGAGCGCAUUGCUCAGAUGGAGAAGCUUGUUCAAGAGAAGUCAGAGGGCAUUUCAUCCCUGCAAAAUGAGAUUGAUUCUCUUCAGAAAAGGGGGACUGUGGAUGCAGAGGAACAGGUUGCAAAGGCUCAUGCACGCAUUAAGGAAUUGGAGCUACAGGUGAAUACGCAUAAGAAAGAAAUUGAAAUGCAGAGUAAAAUACGCAAUGCUCUAGAUAUGCGAGCAAAUGAGUCUGAGAACCGAAUGAAGGAAUUGAAUUCAAGUCUGGAAAAACUACAAGAAAUUACUCAAGAGCAAAAAGCCCGAGUUCGUAAAGCAGAACAAGCACUUAAAGCGGCAGAGGAAAACCUGUUGAAGGCUCGACUGGAAGCAAAAUCUAAGGCCAAAAAGUUGACGGAGGUCCAUGGUGCCUGGCUACCACCUUGGCUUGCUGUCCAUUUUGUUAAAGUUCAGUCCUUUGCAGUGUCAAACUGGCAUGAGCAUGUGAAACCUAUAUUGGACAUUGCUGUUGGGAAGGCUUCAGAAACAUCUGCAAAAGCCCAGGCGUUGAUAAAGCCGCACGUGGAAAGAAUUAACUCGAAAUUGGUGCCUUAUUUGAACGAGCAAUGGCUGGCAUUUACAACAUUUGCUGGACCCUAUGUGCAAUUAGCUACUACGAAGACUAUUAAGCUAUAUGAGGAAUCAAAGAGUACCAUUAGACCACAUAUUCUAAAGGCACAAGAAAUGGCAGAUCCCUACUUGCAGGAAGCUAAGAAGUUCUCUAAGCCAUAUAUUGAUCAGGUUGCUGUUGUUACAAAGCCUCAUGUCGAGAAAUUACAGGUUGCUAUGAAACCUUAUACUAAAAAAGCAGUUCAUGCUUAUGGGAAAUUCCUUAAGACUGCAACCGUGUACCAUCAUCAGGCCCAAUCUAACAUCGAAAAGAUGUUGAAGCAACACGAGUUAACAAAAGCAUUGGCAACGAAAGAACUAGUGUGGUUUUUGGCUUCUGCUUUAUUGGCACUACCCGUUUUUGCUCUAUAUAGCUUGUUUUCAUCAAUUUUUGGUAAGAAGGUGAGGAAACCCACUAGAAGUGGAAAUCAUGCCCAUCGAAGGCUGAAACGCAGGCAUGCUGACAAGUAGAGAAUUUCUGGGGUUUGUGGUUUUAGUGCAUUCAGAUCAUUUACUUGGUUUGGUUGCUAUACUGCAUGUCAUAAUUAAUAGGAGGAUUGUCACAUCUUGAAAAUAUCAAUCGGGAGGAAAUCUUAUGUGGACCUUUUGUUCUCUGAACUAACAAAAUCAUAAUGCGCCUGGGACAGCCUGCCUUAUUUUUAUUUCACCAAAACAUGUACAUCAACCAAGUAUCACCCUUUGGUGGACAUUGAUUAGGUCUUGUGCCGUUGUGUUUAGGAGUUGUGACCAUUACAGAAAAGGAAGUGAAGAGUCAGAUGUGGGUUUGAAGCUUUAUGUGCAUUGCAGGAGGCCCAUGUAUACAGUCAUUUAAUUUAUGAUUGUAGAUUUUAGAUGGCUUUUUCCUGGUCUUUUGUGAUUAUUCAGGUCAAGCUUUUUCCGACUGUUUUCCUCUACUUUCCCUUAAUUGAAUUCGUCUUAAUGAUAGUUUUUCUUGCCUUAUGGAGUUCUUCUCUGUUCAAGAAUGAACUCUUGUGCUUUGUAAUACAUUCUGAUGUAGUGUUGUACUUUGGUCUCUGUGAGCUAUUCAGUCCUUGUUUUCAUGUCUUCUUUACCUGAAACAUUAUGCACAUUUUGUUAUUAUAGAUUUUGACAGUUUAAUUUCA